rnacentral:rRNA from 1 species
AUUGAACGCUGGCGGCAGGCCUAACACAUGCAAGUCGAGCGGAUGAAGGGAGCUGGCUCCUGGAUUCAGCGGCGGACGGGUGAGUAAUGCCUAGGAAUCUGCCUGGUAGUGGGGGAUAACGUCCGGAAACGGGCGCUAAUACCGCAUACGUCCUGAGGGAGAAAGUGGGGGAUCUUCGGACCUCACGCUAUCAGAUGAGCCUAGGUCGGAUUAGCUAGUUGGUGGGGUAAAGGCCUACCAAGGCGACGAUCCGUAACUGGUCUGAGAGGAUGAUCAGUCACACUGGAACUGAGACACGGUCCAGACUCCUACGGGAGGCAGCAGUGGGGAAUAUUGGACAAUGGGCGAAAGCCUGAUCCAGCCAUGCCGCGUGUGUGAAGAAGGUCUUCGGAUUGUAAAGCACUUUAAGUUGGGAGGAAGGGCAGUAAGUUAAUACCUUGCUGUUUUGACGUUACCAACAGAAUAAGCACCGGCUAACUUCGU